rnacentral:rRNA from 1 species
AGGACUAACGCUGGCGGCGUGCCUAACACAUGCAAGUCGAACGGGUUGUAGCAAUACAGCCAGUGGCAGACGGGUGAGUAACACGUAGAUAACGUACCCCUCCGCUGGGGAUAGCCACUGGAAACGGUGGGUAAUACCGAAUACAUUCUGGUUCGGGCAUCUGAACUGGAAGAAACUGUUCAGGGUGGAGGGAGCGGUUUGCGACCUAUCAGCUAGUUGGUGAGGUAACGGCUCACCAAGGCGACGACGGGUAGCCGGUCUGAGAGGAUGAUCGGCCACACUGGCACUGAGAUACGGGCCAGACUCCUACGGAGGCAGCAGUGAGGAAUUUUGCGCAAUGGAGGAAACUCCGACGCAGCGACGCCGCGUGCGGGACGAAGCCUUCGGGUGUAAACCGCUGUCAGUGGGAAGAGAAUGGACGGUACCACGUGAGGAAGCCUCGGCUAACUACGUGCCAGCAGCCGC